rnacentral:lncRNA from 1 species
UGUGCGCUAGCUGCGGCGGCUGAUCUUCGUCUCCGGUAACGAUCAACGGCGGCACAAGCACAUGUGAUCUGUGCGCUAGCUCAAGCUUGGCCGAUCUGGUGCUUGCUCGAUUACUCUUCCUCUAUUCACUCAGAGUUAAUUUUUUUAUUUUAUGAAAUACUUGUUGGAUUGUAGUUUCUACUGAUUUGUUUUUUGGUGGAAUAUUUGAGCUAUUUGUUGAUAGGUUUAUAUUUAGGAGUUAUAUUGAAGAGUUUGGUGUUUAAUAUUAAGAACUAAGUAAUAGGUAAUGUUGAAAGAGAACACAUGUUUAGGUGAUAUAUCAGUAAAAAUUGUAGCUUAAUCAGUUGAAAUUGUCUACUUGCUUCUAAAGUUUUUUUUUUUUUUUUUUUUUUUUUUUUUUUUCUGUAACUAGUUACACUUUUUUGUUUGGCAAAGCCCAAAAUGAAUAGGAAAUCAUGGACGCAGGUAAUGUUUAUUUCGUAUAAUUUUUUUCUUUAUUUGUUGUUUGAUUGUAAUAGUGAAUAGUGAUUUUUGAAAUCGGGUGGCUUGUUUGCAGGAAACUGGGUUAAGCUGUUGAAACAUUUUGAGAAAUAUAAUAAAUUUAAAUUUAUUAGAAAUAUAAUAAAUAAAUUUAAAUUUAUUUAUUUGUGGCAGGUUGUGACCUAUUUUGAAGAGCAACAGGUCACUCUGCAUAUAAGUCUUUGAAUUUAAAGUGUAGUAAGAAAAAAAUAUUUCUCCUGGAUACUUAAAGUUAUCUUGUUAUAUGUUCGGGAAAAGUAUAUAUUCAAAAGUUAUGAUAUUUAGAAUUCUUUUGCAAGUUUCAUUAUUGCAUAGAGUCCUAUAUAUUGUUGAGAUAUAAUUAGUAAUCUAGUAAAUUGAGCAAGAAGUUUAAACUGAAGAAAAGUUGAGAAAGCUUCUGAUUUUUCAUUCAAAAAAUAAAUCCACAUCAUCCUUGUAUAGUCAUCAACAAAAAGAAUGAAAUAUCUCCUGUUAUUGAGAGAGAGAGUCCUUGUAGGACCACAAAUAUCAGCAUGCACCAACUCCAACGGAGCUUUGGCUCUCCAUGAAUUUUUAGGAAAUGGAAGUCUAUGCAUUUUUCCAUAUAUACAGCCCUCGCAAACUUUUUCAUAUCUUCCAACAUCAGGUAAGCCAAUCACCAUGUUCUUUUGCUUGAGUUUACUAGAUUACUAAUUAUAUCUCAACAUAUAUAUUACACAAUUCUGGAAAUAGUUUGAUCUAUUUUUCUAUUAGUCUCAAUAGAUUCUUAUUCACCCUGCAAUUUCCAUUGCUGAUUUUGUCGUUCUAUUAGUUGCUUGUUUUAAAUUAUUUUCAUUUUCAAUGAAUUUUGGUCUUGGUUGUGCAGGAAUUGGCAUUGUGAUAAUUUGAGGUUUAUUGCUAACGCUAUCAUGGAUUGACGAAUUGGAUUUGGUUAUGAACUGAGUUAGCCAUCGGUUAUUAGCAGUUUCUGAACAAGGAGCAAGAAGAUACCAGUGAGGACCUGGAUUUCAGAAGCAAUUCUUUUAUUUUGCUUUUAUUUUGAAUCAUUAGCAUUUUCUUUUUCUCGUUUGGUUUCAGAUAUUGGUGGCAUUGGGUAGUGGGUUUGUUUCUCGAAUCAUGAUGAUGCCAAUGUGAUUGCAAACAGCAGAGUCUAAAAUUUAUACGACCUUGUGAUUUGUCCUAUAUUUUUUUACUAAUGUUUGCUUAAUUUUUUUUCCUUUUUGUUCUUUUUUGAGUGAUCUCCAUAAUUAAUCAAGAACCAAAAUAUC